UACGAAGGGGGCUAGCGUUGCUCGGAAUCACUGGGCGUAAAGCGCACGUAGGCGGACUCUUAAGUCAGGGGUGAAAUCCUGGAGCUCAACUCCAGAACUGCCUUCGAUACUGGCGAUCUUGAGUCUGGGAGAGGUGAGUGGAACUCCGAGUGUAGAGGUGAAAUUCGUAGAUAUUCGGAAGAACACCAGUGGCGAAGGCGGCUCACUGGCCCGGUACUGACGCUGAGGUGCGAAAGCGUGGGGAGCAAACAGG
rnacentral:rRNA from 1 species